AACAAACGCUGGCGGCGUGCCUAACACAUGCAAGUCGUACGAGAAAGGGUCCUUCGGGGCCUGAGUAAAGUGGCGCACGGGUGAGUAACGCGUGGAUAAUCUGCCCUUCAGUUGGGAAUAACUCAUCGAAAGGUGGGCUAAUACCGAAUAAUGCUGUGAGACCUCGGUUGAUCAGCCAAAGAGAGCCUCUGCUUGCAAGCCCUCGCUGAAGGAUGAGUCCGCGUACCAUUAGCUAGUUGGUAGGGUAAUGGCCUACCAAGGCGACGAUGGUUAGCUGGUCCUAGAGGAUGAUCAGCCACACUGGAACUGAGACACGGUCCAGACGCCUACGGGAGGCAGCAGGGAGGAAUCUUGCGCAAUGGGGGCAACCCUGACGCAGCAACGCCGCGUGAGUGAGGAAGGUCUUCGGAUCGUAAAGCUCUGUCGGAUGGAAAGAACCGCAUAGGGGUAAACAGCCCCUGUGUCUGACGGUACCAUCAAAGGAAGCACCGGCUAACUCCGUGCCAGCAGCCGCCGUAAUAC
rnacentral:rRNA from 1 species